GAAACAUCAAACACCCCUUUCUCCAACAGAGUGAGUCCGCACCAGUAACCCAUACACUCCAGUUGAAGGAAGUGUUACUUAGGAACAUUUUAUAUGCCUUGAUUGCUAGCGGAAAGGAAUAUGGCAAAUGCUACCAAGAGGGCACUUGUUAGAACGUCCACCUUUCUGCUUUUGUUAGCUCAUGCUCUUGGUGAAGUGAGCCACCGGUUUGACGACAACGUCCUCGAUACUUUCGACAUAUUGCGAUUUUUCGACCGUGGCGUAGCCAUAUACGACGUGGACGGUGAUGGAGACCUCGACUGCGUUACUGCUGUUCGAACCGAAUUUAUUGAGGAACCCCUAGGAGCAACAUAUGUUCUGCUCUUCAAAGGCCUUGGCGGGAA